rnacentral:tRNA from 1 species
GCUCUGGUGGCUUAGCGGUUAAGAGCUUGGCUGCUAACCAAAAGGUUGGCAGUUCAAAUCUGCCAGCU